rnacentral:rRNA from 1 species
ACCCCUUGAAGACGACGAGGUAGAUAGGGCAGAGGUGGAAGUACAGUAAUGUAUGGAGCUGACUGUUACUAAUCGGUCGAGGGUUUGACCUG